CACUUAAACGAGCAUGCUGACUAUAAAAAGGCGUGCCCAGGACAGCUCCGACCGGAUGCAACGGGAAAAUGGCGAAAAUGAAAAAAUGAAUUUACUUGAGUCUUGCAAAAAGACGCCCUUGACAGUAUAAUGCACAUUCUUUACAUUCUUACGGUCUUCUUUUGAUACGCCUUCUUCCGCGCUCUCACGAGAUAGUAGACAUGACAUAAACUUAAAACAAAAAAUGGCUGUCAAAAGUUUAUUUUCAAGAAGUGUUCUCAACCUCAGAAGAAGCCUACUGGGGUCCACAGGAACUUUGGUUCGAGACUGAAGAUACCAAGCAGGUCUUUGUUGAUAGAAUUGACAGUGCUAAGCGUUUAAUUUUCUUGCUGCCAGAGGUUCAUUGGCCUUGGAAAACAUGAAGAUUUGGCAAACUGAUGUUGUUGUUGAAGAAGUAACGAAGUGAAGUGUUGAAAGUCUGUAGAAAGUCUGUAGGGCCAGGGAACACCUAGUGGGUUCGGGUAUCGUCCAAACACCUCCUGAAAAACGGAAAUUGAUUGUACUACUAUUGUCGCUUUGAAGGACUACCCUCGCUUGUUGACGCUUGUUGACAGGACAGUCUUCCUGGCAUCAACGUAUGUAUAUAGAAAAUAAUCAAUUUCGUCAACUUUCUACACUGCACAAUGGCGUAGUCUCAAGCCUCAAUGCCGUCUAUUUAUAUGCAAGAAAGCAAGGAAAACUCUUUGGAAGAGUUCACUGGAGUAAUGCUCACUGUAGCUAACCUGGAGCUGUAUAGACAUAGCCUUUUACUGUACCUACAGACCUACCUGAGCAUUAUUUAUUUGUCAACCAUAAUCAUAAAUUUUUAUUUUUGUCUUUUUGAUUCUGGUAAAGAAGAAAACCCACCAGGAAUGUUAUUCCCCUCCCUUCUGUGUGUUUUUUUUAGUGUUCACGGUGUGUAUGAAUGGGUUCUGAGCGCUUUUGCACAAGAGAAAAAAACAGCUCGUUACUAAG